CUCCAUGAUGUAAAUGGCAUAAUCUUUUAGAUCAAAACAAAUCAGCGCGCACCCUUAGAAUGCAUUAAUGCCAUUCACAAAUGGGAAUACAACAGCUGCCUCCAAAUCUAUUUGACGGCUUUUGCCAAAGUAAGAUGACAAAAGAGAAGACAAAUACAUACACCUUGCAAGCAUCUGUCUUCGCUGAUGGGGCUGCUGCUUAGAAGACCACAGCCGUAGCAUAAUUUAUGCAUUCAUGAAAGGCAGUUGGCCUGUUCCUCUGGGACUGAAAAUGUCACCUCGGCUAGACCAGGGCCUGGAAUUUCAACCGCAUUCUUGAACUUGUGUUGCCCAGUUACUGUUUGGGUGUUUUAAUACAAG